rnacentral:lncRNA from 1 species
GUGAGCAUAUGCUUCCCAUGGCUUGCUUCCCUAGAAACUGCAUGCCUAGAGAGCUCUAGGUGUUGUUAGUAGGGUGGAACAUUACACUACAAGAAGCUCAAGACUCAAGAGGCCAUAAAUCUGGGGAAAGGAGACCACGGAUGUCAGUGCUUGGGCAUUUCUGGGGUGAGACCUGGCGUAGUUUCCAAGAUCUGAGCAGGGUGGAUGUCCAGUGUGGCCCAAGGACAGGGAAGGAUGGCUCUUGGGACCUGGAUCUGUUCUUGCCUGGGAGAGUUUUCCCUAGGACCUAUUUCAAAGGCACACAGUCUUGAGGAGAACUCUCUGCCAGAAGCCCCCACACUCCCCUCCAGUAGCCCAAGUAGGACCUUCUUUCUUGUCCUUUAGAGCUGGCAAAUAGAACAGGCUGUGGGAUAGAAAUGGGCUUAGUUAAGACUCCGGGAUAAAAGCCAGGGAGGAGGAGGCUGUAUGAAGGGAGGGCAGAGAGGUAGGAGAAGCCUGGAGCUUCAAAGGCUGGGGGAGAAAUGGGCUUAGUUAAGACUCCGGGAUAAAAGCCAGGGAGGAGGAGGCUGUAUGAAGGGAGGGCAGAGAGGUAGGAGAAGCCUGGAGCUUCAGGAGGGGACAGAGGAAGAAGCCAGCCUUGUAAGAACAGAGGGCAACAAUCUACUACUCUGAUCUAGCUCCCUUCCUCUGCUGGCUCCGGGUCCCUCAGGCUUCGCUGGGCUUCUCGCCAGCUUCCAGUAGUAGGGUUUAGGCCAGGAAUGGAUGUUUACCUUUUACCUUCUUUAGGGACCUCUGAGCUCAGGCCCCCAAGGGCUCAAGUCCCACAGCCCCUGAGCCCUACAGCUUUUCAUAGUACCCUAGGCGCAAGACCUCGUCAGGGUUCUGAAAGCAUUACGUCCGGGAAGAGAGACGGAUGUGCGGAGACAUGGCAGAGCGAGAAGGAGGAGGAAGUUCUGAGAGUGGCAGACAGAGCACGGCGCGAGCAGACAAGCGACGCGGCGGGAAGAGCGGACGGCAAAGAGGAGACCCUGCGCGGCACACACGUCCGUGAGGCUGGGAUGGACAAACAGUCACCCUGUCUACCACCUCUUAGGAUGGGAAAACAGGAGGAGCCAGCCCCGAGGGUCCUUCCCAUAAGCCAGUGUGCACGAGUUGGCACGGGCAGAUGGUGGGCCACAUAUCUGUGCACAGAGCUAUCGAAGACGACGUCAGCGGUAGGAAAAGAAGUGGUCCCAGCUGAGCAUCAGUGGUCAAAAGCUACCUCUCCCUACAUCAUCACAUUCUGCCUGGAUUUCUUUUGACUCCAUUUGCUGUCCUGCACAUCUCCACCCUCCGCGCCUGCAGAGCCCUGGCCCCUGCAGAGCCCCGUGGCUGGGUUUCUGUUCAAGGCCCGCAAGACGGGAGGGGACCCCUCUUCCGGAAAAUGGACAGCACCUUGAGGGCCCAGGAAGUUUGGGGAUAUCUGUGUGGCCAUACAGGGGAGUGGAUGGGACCGGAAGGGCUUGGUAACAAUGGAGUAGUGCAGCCGAGUCCUUAGUAGCAUCCCCUAGUCCCUUCCACACCCUACACUCCUGCCCUAGACACUCAGAGGAAGAGGUGGGUGUGGAAGAUUCAUAUUAGAUACAACCACGUCUGUUUGUUACUAUGAGCACACAUUAUUUGUGUGCUGUUUCUGCACUCUGAUUGGACAUAUGUCUGUUUACAUAGGUAUUUACCUCUCAUCCAAAGUCAGCUGCUUGAAUAUUUGCAAAUGUAGUACUUAAUUAUAAUUUGUAUUACCAUUGAAGUAUUAACAUCAAUAAUUUUUAUAUUGAAUUACAUAUUAGUAUUAUUAUUUUCUAAUUUAAUGUGUCCAUCGUGUGUUGCAACAGACAUACUAAAUGCAUUCAUCUGACUGACGAUCUUAACUGGGGCUUAUUUUUGAGAUAGGGCUGAUAUUACAAGCAUCCUAAGAAGUCAUUUGAGGGCUUAUUUUCCAGUUUGGUCUUAUUUUCAGGGAAAUAAGUUUUUAUUGUUCCUGCAUCCUGGAGAGCCCUGCCUUGUGCACGGUCACUUUUUAUUCAUCUGGCCUGUCCCAGUUUAUCGUGACUUCCUUAGGCAACCUGUCCCUCAAAUGCCCCACCCCGUGCCCCAAUUCCCCGUAUUAGAAGAUGAAGUCUUCAUGAAAUAAAAUCUCAUUGCACCCUGUCCUUCUCUUUCAGUUAAAAGGGUUUGUUUGUGCCUGUCUUUCCAGUUCCAGGGGAAGGUGUGGUGGGAUGACUGUUUGAGGCCAGGCGUUUGAGGCCAGCCUGACAGUCUGUCUGCUCCCCUUUCUUCUGUCACUUUUGUUCCUCUAGGCAGUUGUUUCUAUCCACUUUCCUUUCCUUUUCCUUUUCCCUCACUCCCUGCUUGGACCUCUUUCAGUUCUCCAUGGUCCUUUGCUCAUCUCUUCUGUCUGCCCACAUCCUUCUGUCUCUUUCAGUGUGAAUCCCUGUGGAGUCCCUGACUUGUUCCACCCUUCAUCUCAGAAGUACACAUAACUGCCUCCUUAGCCAGUCUCCUCGUCUCUCUGUUCUGUCUUUCUUGGUGUUCACUCUGGCUUCAUCUUUUCAUUCCUGUUUCUCUGUUUUCAGAUUUCCUCCAAUCUUUCAGUCUCAGUGUCUAUUUUUCAGCCUCCAAGAACCCUCACAACCGCAACCCUAGGGAUGGAGUUUGCCUCCUGGGUCCCCACUGGCUGGCAUAGCCUCUUCUCUUGUGCCCUUGGUCUUCUCCUCUCUCCUCUGAAGCCAGCCCUCAUUCCCUGGCUCCUUUCCCUGGUUUGUGGUGCCUGUUCUGAAUUCUAAACAGCUCAACUGUCCUGAGCUUGUUUAGUCUGACUCUCUUAGCCCCUUAGCAGCUUAGCCCUUCCACCUCUCCCUGAGCCCUCUAGUAAACAAGAGGCUCAGGGUAGAUCUGAC